AUGUUUUCUGUAGCUCUGCUGCUGCUGCUGGCAGCUGGAUGUGUGAAGUGUGAACAGUUGACACAGCCAGCCUCUGUGACUGUGCAGCCAGGUCAGAGUCUGACCAUCACCUGUCAGGUCUCUGGUUACUCUCUGACUGAUAACAGCUAUGCAACAGGUUGGAUCAGACAGCGUGAAGGGAAACCGAUGGACUGGAUCUCUAUCAGUGGGGGAAGCUCUGGGAGCUUUUACCAAAAUAAUGCUCUGAAGAACAAGUUCAGCUACAGCAAAGACACGUCUGCUGGAACAGUGACUCUAACAGGACAGAGUCUGCAGCCUGAAGACACUGCUGUGUAUUACUGUGUGAGAGACCCACAGUGAGAGACAAUAACAGGAGAGUCAUAC